GACGAACGCUGGCGGCGUGCUUAACACAUGCAAGUCGAACGAUGAAGCUGGAGCUUGCUCCGGUGGAUUAGUGGCGAACGGGUGAGUAACACGUGAGAAAUCUGCCCUUCACUCUGGGAUAACUGCGGGAAACUGUAGCUAAUACCGGAUACUUUCCCUGGUGGGCAUCCACUAGGGAAGAAAGAAUUUCGGUGAAGGAUGAUCUCGCGGCCUAUCAGCUAGUUGGUGAGGUAAUGGCUCACCAAGGCGACGACGGGUAGCCGGCCUGAGAGGGUGACCGGCCACACUGGGACUGAGACACGGCCCAGACUCCUACGGGAGGCAGCAGUGGGGAAUAUUGCACAAUGGGCGAAAGCCUGAUGCAGCAACGCCGCGUGAGGGAUGAAGGCCUUCGGGUUGUAAACCUCUUUUAGCAGGGAAGAAGCGAAAGUGACGGUACCUGCAGAAAAAGCACCGGCUAACUACGUGCCAGCAGCCGCAGUAA
rnacentral:rRNA from 1 species